rnacentral:tRNA from 1 species
GGGAAGGCCCCAUGGCUCAGUGGUAGAGCAUUGCCUUGGUAUGCAGAAGGCCCCGGGUUCAAUUCCUUAGCUCCUCCU